rnacentral:rRNA from 1 species
UAGGGUGGUUUUAGCGGUGGGGCUCACCUGUUCCCAUUCCGAACACAGAAGUUAAGCCCACCAGCGCCG